rnacentral:lncRNA from 1 species
GAGGAAUGAGGGCAGGGAGUGAGCGUGGCGCCUGUGGAGUACAGCCGUGUGGGGCCCUCCCCUUGGCUGGUGUUAGUUCACAGCCCCUGGUGCAGCCUCACACGUGCUGCACACACGCAGUGAUCCUGCUGGUCUGCUGGGAGUGAAAUAUGUCCCCCGUGACUCCCUGGUGACUUCCUGGCCAUUUGUAUAUGUUUUUUUCUGUGACAUGAUUAUUGUCAUAUUUUUACAUAUUUUUCUUUGGGGC